GACGAACGCUGGCGGCGUGCUUAACACAUGCAAGUCGAACGGAAAGGCCCUGCUUUUGUGGGGUGCUCGAGUGGCGAACGGGUGAGUAACACGUGAGUAACCUGCCCUUGACUUUGGGAUAACUUCAGGAAACUGGGGCUAAUACCGGAUAGGAGCUCCUGCUGCAUGGUGGGGGUUGGAAAGUUUCGGCGUUUGGGGAUGGACUCGCGGCUUAUCAGCUUGCUGGUGGGGUAGUGGCUUACCAAGGCUUUGACGGGUAGCCAGUCUGAGAGGGUGACCGGGCACAUUGGGACUGAGAUACGGCCCAGACUCCUACGGGAGGCAGCAGUGGGGAAUAUUGCACAGUGGGCGGAAGCCUGGUGCAGCAACGCCGCGGGCGGGAUGAAGGCCUUCAAGUGGUAAACCGCUUUCGCCUGUGACGAGGCGUGAGUGACGGUAAUGGGUAAAGAAGCACCGGCUAACUACGUG
rnacentral:rRNA from 1 species